GCUCAGUAACACGUGGAUAACUUACCCUUAGGACUGGGAUAACUCUGGGAAACUGGGGAUAAUACCGGAUAUUAGGCUAUGGCUGGAAUGCUUUGCCUUUGAAAUGUUUCUUGUAUUCGCCUAAGGAUAGAUCUGCGGCUGAUUAGGUCGUUGGUGGGGUAAUGGCCCACCAAGCCUAUGAUCGGUACGGGUUGUGAGAGCAAGAGCCCGGAGAUGGAACCUGAGACAAGGUUCCAGACCCUACGGGGUGCAGCAGGCGCGAAACCUCCGCAAUGUACGAAAGUGCGACGGGGGGAUCCCAAGUGUUAUUCUUAAUAGGAUAACUUUUCAUUAGUGUAAAAAGCUUUUAGAAUAAGAGCUGGGCAAGACCGGUGCCAGCCGCCGCGGUAACAC
rnacentral:rRNA from 1 species